UCUUUGUUACAUGUAUUUGGUGUUCAUCUCCGUAAUUCCCGGAUAUGAAUGAAAAGGGAACCGGGUGUAAAUCCCGGACAGUACCCGCUGCUGUAAGCUUCCUCAAGGAAAAGCAAACUUAGCCACUGUUGAACCGACGGGAAGGCGCUUCACUCCGGAAGCAAGUCAGAAGACCUGCCAAAUAUCGAUUUGCAGC
rnacentral:ncRNA from 2 species